rnacentral:lncRNA from 1 species
AAGGACUAAGAACUUUGGAAAGAGUAGCAUUCAACGGAUUUUCAUCUUCAUCUUUGUCUCCACCCCACUGGCAGCAGCUUCACAAAUCUUGUUCCAGCAACGGUAAGAAAUGAGUAAAGGUAUCAAGACCCACCAUCCAUUAGCACCAAUGUAGUAAGAGUAAUAGUAGAAAGAGCUUGUCGCAAAGUUAUCUCCUUCCAGAAAAGCAGUAGUGAAAUAGACAAGACAUCCGUAGAGCUGACCAAGCGAAAUCGCAAGCUGAAGCACGUAGCUGUAAGACUUCCCUUUAGCAAUAGCAUAUCUUUUUAUUAUCCAAACAAAAAAAAAUUCAACUACUUUUAGUUAAGUGUCAAGAAAUAUUAACAAAAAAAAGAAAAGAUGUUGGGUUGAGAGAAGAGGAGGUAAUAAGACUUUUACAGAGCAAGAAGAGAAGCAGGGCCUUCUAUAACAGCAGUGAUCCCUUCAACAGCUACCACUGCGGAGUCUCUGCCUGCGUAUCUCGAAUCACCUUUGCUGUAUUCUUUCCCUGUCAAUAUAAACAAGUCAACAUAACAGAUAACGUGUAAUCAGACAAGAAGAAGAUGUAUUACUUACAGACUUCAGCGAGGUAACAAGAAGUGUUGUCCUUGAAAAACUCAGGGGAGAAAACGAAAUAGCCUUCAAGAACCAAGUGAGUGAGACCGGUGAAUGCCCACCAGCACAUUAGCAAUAUCUCAAGCUUCGCUUUCUUUCUCCCUACCACGCACGAAUCACAACAAUAGAAUUGUAAUUCUCUGAUGAGUUCACUAGAUUACUCUGAUCUGCUCAACUUUUCAAUUGAAUUUGCCAGGAAGAGAAGGGGACUGGAUUUUACCAAAGAGGAACCAGACUAAGGAGACGACGAAGAGGGAAGAAGCGAGGUAGACAGAGAGGAUGGAUGACAUGGACAUGGAGAUAUUGGUACGUAUCCCGGCAGUUUCAGAUCGCUUGGAACGUAUGGAUGCGCCGCCGCUUCUUCCAUGGCUGUCACUUUGAUUGGCUGUUUGAAUCUAUAUCACGUUUCAGCAUUGCCUGUGGCCAAUUUAAAUUUUGGAUAAUUCAGAGAAAUAGUGUUUGUAAAUUUUUUUGUUUUUUUGUUUUUUGUGUGUGCGCAACAACAGAGAAGUAAAUCAUAAGCUGAAAUAUAGAGAAGUAAAAGGAGCUGAAGAUCCAAGAUAAACAAUAAAAAAGAAAUGACAAUGUUUUAAUCAGAAAGCGAAAACAAAAGAGAAUACGACCCGAGAACCUCCGGUAAGAAAACCCUAGCUCCGGCCCGCCGCCUUUGACGGUGCCGGAGGCGAUUUCGUCAACCCUCUCUCUCAUUUGCUCUUUGCUCUCUUUUUCCUCCUCCAUUUCCAAGUCGAUAUGCAAUUUGCUCUGUAACUCUCGAGUUCCACCGGUGAUGCUUCGGUUUCAACGGAGGCCGGACUUGUUUUCUUAUGGAGAAAAGGCGAGGCUCAAGAUACGGCAGAGGAAUGGUGAGUCGGCUUUUAGGACUGAUGAUUAAGUCAGAUCUGGUUUUCCCGUUUCAGAUCUCCGACGGAAUCAUCACGGAGACGGCGCGUGCUCUGGUGAGUCGCCUCAUCUACCACAGAUCUACUUUCCCAGGAGGCGGUGAGGCUGAUGGAAGAGUUGUUCAACGAGUGGGUUAGAAGACUGUCCUCUGUCUCUUGGGGGUUCGUGGUGAUGUUCCAACAUCCCACCAUCGACGACGAGCCUCAGGUUCUGUCCGGCGGUGGAGGUUUAAACUGUUGAAAGAUUUGAUUAGUUGGAUGAGUUCGUCGCUUCCCGUCAUCAAGGUCCGUUUUUGUAGUUUCUGUUUGUUCUGGACGUUUGGUCACCCAUGGUUUGUGAUAGGUGUUGCUGGUGACUAUGGUAUAGUUUGGGAAGCGCCUUAGGGUGAUGAAAUCAUUGGUACUUGGUCUGAAUUCAAUCUCUUGGAGACUAACGGCCCGUCUAGGAAUGGUUUCGGGAUUAGACUUGUCCUGUCUACUAGUAUAUUUAUUUUCUUAGCGGCAUGCCAGUUCCAGUGCGAGAAGUUUCUGUGUUUGGUGUUUGACGGGUUCAGUGGCAGACUUCUCCUUUUAUGGUGGUGAUUGCAGUGAGCUUUCGUCGGUCGGAGUGUUAAUGAAUGUUAUGGGUUUGGAUCGUCGAGGCUUGGUUGUGUGAAGGGUUAUGGUGAGCUUCUAUCUAGGUGUAAAGUGGACGUCAGAGAGUGCGUUCAAACCGUAUCCGAAAGUUGUGUGGAUCGUGAAGCGAUUCUUCUUGUCGGGUUGUGAAGCUUUGGGUCUUGGUUACGAGUAGGGAUGGUAUUGUUUGGCAGGCCAUAGGCGGCAGCGAUAGAUCCGGGUUAAGAAGACUUGGUGUCUUGGGUUCUUCAAGCGGACGGUAUCGGGUGGUUGCCGUGGGCAGCAGCGAUAUGUCUAGCUCACUGCUUAUUGCUAUUUAGGAGGUUUGCUACAUUGGAGUGUCUUAUGCUUAAGUGUAGUUGUGUUUAGGUUGCUGCGUUUAUUGCGGUUUGGUCUAUGUUUUAUCAAGGUUGUGUUGGUAAGUUGCCCUUGUUGUGGGUUUAAGCUGCUCCGUUGUGGGCUUUAGUUGCCUUUCUUUGGGCUUUGGUGUGUCCGACAUGUUGUGGGUCUAAGCUGCUCCGUUGUGAGCUUUAGUUGCCUUUUUUUGGGUUCUAAUAUGUCCAAAGGUGUUGUAUUAGGAUUUUACUUUUGAAAUAAUAUUAUCAGUGGAAAAAAAAAGAUUGUAAUUGCUAGCGAAAACCAAUUCCUUUUGGGAGAAAGGAGGGAAUUUGAGUACAACGGGGGUUUUUAAUAAAUCCUAAAGUACAAAUCCUUCACAAUUAACCAUAUAAUAUUAAUAUUAAACUCAUAUUGCUUAAGGAUCAAUCCUUCUUGAAGUUGGUUGGAUUGUGAAACUUUUGAAUAUGUGAUAAAUCUUUUUGCCAACGAUGGUUUGUAAUGGUAUAGGUAUAUAUUGACUCUACAAAGAGAAGACAACACGUAAGCAUUGAAAUCAGAAUUCACAUGUAAGUUUGUUUGUUUUGUUGAUUAGGUGUUUGGAGAGCUCUUCAUACCUACCAGCUUUAUAAUCUUUCAAUACCUUGAUAAACCACUUAAUAUGUUUGCACGUUCAUCAUGAAAUAGUCAAUGGUUUGAAAUUUCCCUGAACACCUUUAGUAUCUAAUCAAAUAAAAAAAGUUUUGUUCAUUAAAACACAGAUCAGAUUCAACACUGAAUCCCUCUACUAUAAGUCUAUACCAAAUCUAUUUACUACUUUUCUUCUUCUUUCACAACACUUUCAGAAUCGUUCAAGAAAUAGAACCAGAAGUAAUGGGCCAGGAAUGUAGAUAACAAAACGAGCCCAUUACUUCAAAACGUUGUCGUAUCAUAUGCAUAAAUAAAUAAACCCUAGGCUGUUUUGUUGCUUCAUCAUCCUUUAAAAGGCCACCUAGUCUUCAUUAACAAUAUCGCCGGUCUGAAACUUGUUCCUCUCGUCUCUCUUUUUUUUUUUUUUUUUCCUCAUAGCUUGAUUUUGUUUUAUUAUUAUGUUGCAAAGGAAAAUUGAUUAGAUUUUUUUUUGCUGGAAUGUGAAGCAUAGUAGAAUAUUCAGGUGAUGAGAUUUGAUCUAAAAUUCUCACGACGGUCGUCUGAGACUAUGUGUCGAUUGAUGUACCGAUCGCUCUUCUCUGAUGAAUAAACUUUCUUUAUUAUCAAAUCUUUUCUUUUUUGUUUUAGUAACCAUAAAUUUGUUAAUUCAUAUUUUUAGAAUUUUAUAUUCAGACUAGAGAGAGUCAUCUUCCUUUCGUUUUUGUUUAUCUUUGAUUGCGUAGGUAUAUACCAAAAGAGUUUUAGUGAUUAUCUCAUGUAAUUGAAGGAACUUUUGUAGAUGUCAAUAAUAAUUGUUAAAAAAUUCAUUGACUACGUUUACGUAUUCUACUCUCUUAAAUUAAUGGUGUUAGGGGAUUGUAAUGUGUUACAUUGUAUCGCGUAUUAUUGGAUUCGAACUCGACAAUGCAGAGGAAGAGCAAGUGGUGAGGAAGUCUUGCGGAAGCUAAGCAACUGUUUGGGAUUGGGAUAAAAAAAAGAAUCAAAAGGGUUAUGAAACAUAAAUCUAUAGUUUAACAACAUAAAUUACUCUGAACUUAUUAGGUUAACAGCAGUUUUGAUUCUCUUCUUAAAACCUUAUUUAUCAAAACACACAAAGUAAGUAUUUAUCAAAAAAACAACUGUCUUCUACAGGACCAUAACUGAAACCAAAAAUAGAAAAUGUAACCAGACAAGAAUGUCUCAAUAUGCACCUGAGCUGUGGGAGUUGUUGAAGAAAGACAACACAGUUGUUUACAUGUGACGUGGAGAAAAGGAUUUGAUGGUCUUAUUGGCUGCUAAUGACUGGUAAAAAGAGAGAGCUGGACUCUAAAUUUUGAAACCUCCAUUGCCUUUGCGAAGUGUCUUUUUGUGUGAUGGGUUUAGGUAUUGACUGGUUUUAUUAUAAGAAUCAGUUGAAGAAGACAUAGCAAUGGAACGUUGAAGUCUACUGAUUAGCAUCCGGUGGUCAUGUAUAUCGGAACAACAAGUGUAACCUUGGCGUCCAAGUUUCUGUAAUCUGAAUAGAAGUUAUGUUUUAGAUAAUAGUAUACGAAAAAGGUGCUCCAAUCUUUUACCAUCUCACUGACAUUACUUUGCUCUGAUACAAAUAGUACAUUGACAGAGAUUUUUUUUUUUUUUUUGGUGAUGUUAAAUUUAUUAUACUAAAAUUUUAUUUUUUUACAGAAGAACGAAGAAGACAAGUAGCGGAAAAACAGUAAUUAAACUAAACAGCAGGUCCGGCCCUUGGGUAGUGCCCAAAGUGCAUUUGCACUGGGUCCAAUUUGUUUUUUCAAUUUUUAGGUAAGGGUUAGGGCCCUUUUUUAAAAACUUUUAGGGUCCUAUUUUCAUAAAUUAUGUAUAUUAUUCUUAUACAAAUAAAAAUCUGCACAGAGGCCCAUAUAUUAUUGAGCCGGGCCUGCUAAACAGAGUACCUAUAAGAAUUUCUGAUUCUAAACAAAAGAAGAAAGAUCAAAGAGAAGGACCGGAAAUAGCGUAGCGUCAAUGGUCCAAAGCAAAGGUAUGAGCGGACUAAGUUCCCGGUUGUCGCGAGCUCCCGGAGAAAAAUGCACCCCUAAACCUUGAAGCACCGGGCAAAGGUCUACAGAUUCCAAAAAACUCAAUCAUCAACACCAACACAAAGAAACCUAUCACGGAACCGCAAGCCCGUUCAAAAUCGCCUCACCAGCAGCACGAGGAGGAGUUCACAGACCGACGGUACCGUCGUUCGGGAUGGUGAAGUGGAGAUUGCUGCCUCCAAUCCUCCAACCCCGGAACCGUAUACACCCAUUUAACCCACCGCACAUAUAGAGCAUGGGACACAUCGGGCACACCUCCUCCGGAGAAAACGACCUUUAAACUAGCAAGAGGACCGAUUGCUAAACUAACUCCUAUCCAUACUCAACAGACCACCACUUCUAAAGAAGCAUUACCUCCUACAGAUGACAGAGAGUUGUUCUCAGUUAACAGCAAUCUGUAUAUUAAUGGUAGAUGACCAAUUCUCUGACAAUGAGAUGAGACUUUUUUUUUGUCAACCGAUUAUGAGAUGAGACUAAUAUCCACGCAUCUUUUUUAAGCCAACCUUUUUUACCAUUUGAAUUGCCCAAAAAAUUCACAGAAGUGUUUGGUUGUAGGAAGGGGUUUAGUUUUUGAGUCCCAUAUUAUGAAAUAUUCAGUUGAAAAAGAAAAGAAUUCCCCAAAAAAGUCAGUUAGUUUUAGAGGGAAAAAGAUUAAAUAAAAUUGUCAGAAGUGGGAUUUGAACCCACGCCCUCUUUCGAAGACCAGAACUUGAGUCUGGCGCCUUAGACCACUCGGCCAUCCUGACAUCUUUGUUUAAGAGCAUCUAGGCUUUACAUAAUAAAUAAAACCUUAUUUUGCUUCUGUUAAUUAUAGUAACUCAUGAGUGGUAAAAUGCAGAAGGGGGAUCUGAAGGUUCUCAAGCUUUCAAAAAAAGUCGGCUGCAUCAUUGGCUUCAUUGCGAGUAAAUUGACGUUCAAAUAGUAAAUGAAAAUGGAUAAACUAUCUUUAGUAGGAGGCAUGUGAUUAUGGCCCUUGCUCAAUGUUAUAACAUCAAUAAACAUGAAACCAAUUACAAUUGCAGAACACAAGUUUACAAGGAACCUGACUGAAGAACAGCUUUGUAGAAAACCGAGCAAAGAUCAAAACUACAAAAAGAGAUGAUAAGGACUAAGAACUUUGGAAAGAGUAGCAUUCAACGGAUUUUCAUCUUCAUCUUUGUCUCCACCCCACUGGCAGCAGCUUCACAAAUCUUGUUCCAGCAACGGUAAGAAAUGAGUAAAGGUAUCAAGACCCACCAUCCAUUAGCACCAAUGUAGUAAGAGUAAUAGUAGAAAGAGCUUGUCGCAAAGUUAUCUCCUUCCAGAAAAGCAGUAGUGAAAUAGACAAGACAUCCGUAGAGCUGAC